rnacentral:rRNA from 1 species
CAGCAGCCGCGGUAAUACGUAGGGUGCAAGCGUUAAUCGGAAUUACUGGGCGUAAAGCGUGUGCAGGCGGUUAUAUAAGACAGAUGUGAAAUCCCCGGGCUCAACCUGGGAACUGCAUUUGUGACUGUAUAGCUAGAGUACGGCAGAGGGGGAUGGAAUUCCGCGUGUAGCAGUGAAAUGCGUAGAUAUGCGGAGGAACACCGAUGGCGAAGGCAAUCCCCUGGGCCUGUACUGACGCUCAUGCACGAAAGCGUGGGGAGCAAACAGGAUUAGAUACCCGAGUAGUCCCUGUCUCUUAUAC